rnacentral:rRNA from 1 species
CGCAAGCCUGACGGAGCAAGACCGCGUGCGGGAUGACGGCCUAAUGGUUGUAAACCGCUUUUCUCUGGGAAGAAGAUGACGGUACCAGAGGAAUAAGCCUCGGCUAACUCCGUGCCAGCAGCCGCGGUAAUACGGAGGAGGCAAGCGUUAUCCGGAAUUAUUGGGCGUAAAGCGUCCGUAGGUGGUUAUUCAAGUCUGCUGUCAAAGCGUGGGGCUUAACUCCAUAGAGGCAGUGGAAACUGGAUGACUUGAGUGCGGUAGGGGUCGAGGGAAUUCCCAGUGUAGCGGUGAAAUGCGUAGAUAUUGGGAAGAACACCAGUGGCGAAAGCGCUCGACUGGGCCUGCACUGACACUGAGGGACGAAAGCUAGGGGAGCG